GAUGAACGCUAGCGGCAGGCCUAACACAUGCAAGUCGAGGGGCAGCACAGAAACAGCAAUGUUUUGGUGGCGACCGGCGGACGGGUGCGUAACGCGUAUGCAACCUACCUUUAACAGGGGGAUAACGGAGAGAAAUUUCCACUAAUACCCCAUAACAUCGAUCAAGGCAUCUUGAUUGGUUGAAAACUCCGGUGGUUAAAGAUGGGCAUGCGUUGUAUUAGGUAGUUGGUGAGGUAAUGGCUCACCAAGCCUACGAUACAUAGGGGGACAGAGAGGUUAGCCCCCCACACUGGUACUGAGACACGGACCAGACUCCUACGGGAGGCAGCAGUGAGGAAUAUUGGUCAAUGGGGGCAACCCUGAACCAGCCAUGCCGCGUGCAGGAAGACGGCUCUACGAGUUGUAAACUGCUUUUAAACAGGGAUAAAGCACAGUAUGUAUACUGUGUUGAAGGUACUGUAAGAAUAAGGAUCGGCUAACUCCGUGCCAGCAGCCGCCGUAA
rnacentral:rRNA from 1 species